rnacentral:rRNA from 1 species
UACGAGGGGGGCAAGUGUUGUUCGGAAUCACUGGGCGUAAAGGGUGCGUAGGCGGGCUCUUAAGUUGGAUGUUUAAAACCGGGGCCCAACCCCGGCGUGGCAUCCAAAACUGGGAGUCUUGAAUGGAACAGAGGCUAGUGGAAUUGGAGGUGUAGCGGUGGAAUGCGUAGAGAUCUCCAAGAACACCCGUUGCGAAGGCGGCUAGCUGGGUUCACAUUGACGCUGAGGCUCGAAAGCGUGGGGAGCAAACAGG